GCCUAACUGGCUCAGUCAGUAGAGCAUGUGACCCUUAAUCUCAGAGUCAUGAGUUCAAGCCCCACUUUGGGCA
rnacentral:tRNA from 1 species